rnacentral:tRNA from 1 species
UUGGGUGUAGCUCAGUGGUGGAGCACAUGUUUAGCAAGUGUAAAGCCCUGGGUUCAAUUCUCAGCACUGACU